CCUACGGGAGGCUGCAGUGGGGAAUAUUGGGCAAUGGGCGAAAGCCUGACCCAGCAACGCCGCGUGAAGGAAGAAGGCUUUCGGGUUGUAAACUUCUUUUGACAGGGAAGAGCAGAAGACGGUACCUGUCGAAUAAGCCACGGCUAACUACGUGCCAGCAGCCGCGGUAAUACGUAGGUGGCAAGCGUUGUCCGGAUUUACUGGGGGUAAAGGGCGUGUAGCCGGGCUGACAAGUCAGAUGUGAAAUCCGGGGGCUCAACCCCCGAACUGCAGUUGAAACUGUUGGUCUUGAGUAUCGGAGAGGCAGGCGGAAUUCCUAGUGUAGCGGUGAAAGACGUAGAUAUUAGGAGGAACACCAGUGGCGAAGGCGGCCUGCUGGACGACAACUGACGGUGAGGCGCGAAAGCGUGGGGAGCAAACAGGAUUAGAUACCCCAGUAGUC
rnacentral:rRNA from 1 species